CCCCUGGGCACUCGCUCACAGAAUGCCACAGCUUAAAGUCAUUAUAAAGAUAGCAUUAAGACAAUUAAACAAAUUACUUGGAAUCAAGAGUACUUAAAAUCUAUCCCUAACCUGAAUAAAAGGUACCAGAGGACAACCCCCAAAAUUGAGGGAAAUUACAGAAAAAUGUUACAACAUGAUUUUAGAGAAAAACCUCCCAGAGUAAAGUCAGAAUCCAAAGCAAGACUUUCAGUUAUGUUCGAGCAAUUAACCAACUGUGUGGAUAAUUUUUGCCGGAAGAAUAUCAAAUGCAAAGAUAAUGCAGAAGUCUCAUUGCAACAAAAAGUUAAAUUUACUCUCACAUACUCCAGAAAGUUUAAUUAAAUGAUGAAACAUUACAUCAUUUCUUUUUCUUCCCAAUUCUCCAUUCUCUAAGGUAUAACAAAACAAACCAGAGGACUAGAUGAGAAGAAAAAAAAAAAAAAACAAACCUAAGGAUGCUAUUAAUCCAAAACAUGCGCAGAACUUAAAGCUGACAGUUUCUAUUAUAACAGUAAUUCUAUAAUCAUCACACAGCAAAUAGCAUAACCAAGUAAAGAUGUUCUCUAUCACAAGUGGUAAAAUUGUAGUUUUUUUGUUUGGUUGAAACAUUUCAAAAAUCUUGGCUGGAAACAGAAAAGGAAGUCAAUACACUGAGAGCUACAUCAACAAGACACUACACAGACACAGUGAUUAAGAACUAGUGUGUGACUAUGAUGGCCCUUGAGAGCCAAAAACCUAUUCUUCAAGACUGCGUUCCAAGUUUAGUAGAAGAAAAUCACAAAAACAAGCCCAAAUACGGCACUAAGUUCACAAAGGAACCCACAUAACAUGAAUUUUUAUCCAAAGGUUUAAAAGAAAAACUUAGUUAAGACUGGUCAUAGUUUAUAAAAAUAGAAUUUUAAAAGGCUGUGAAGGACAAGAAGAUAAAUUUCCUUUCCUUAAAAUCUAAAUUUCUCUGCAGCUUCUAUAAGUAAGGUAACUCUUUUAACACACAAUGCAUAUUGUCAGCUCUAUCAUCCAUAAGGCUUGCUGAAUAUCACUUAAGGCUUGCUGAGUAUCACUUGAAAGUGCUACUGAUAAUUUGUUCAAUCUCAAACAUAUGAGUUAUGCAUUACACAAAUAUUGACCAGAACUCAAAGAGGAAUGAGGUGCCACUGUUCUUUACAACCAUUCAUUCAGCUUUGAAUCUUUAGAAAAAAUAAAGGCCAAGCAUAUAUAAAACAUUUACCAUUUUAUAAAAACUUAACUUUUAAAAGAAGUGCUUAUAUGAUGUCAAGGAAAAUAACAAGUUAAAGUGUCACCAGUUAGAAAAAGUUUUUGUACUUAGGAAUGCAGUCACAUUUUAUUUUAUAAUGAGUAAAAGUGAGUAUUUUGAAAUCAAACAGGUCUUUUGAACCCACACAAUACAGAUGGAACACACCUCUAAUUUCAGUCAAAACUAAAAAAAGAAGAAAAAUAGAUACUACCUGGUUAAAGCAUAGCCCAGAUGCAAAGCUGAACACUGAAGAUACAUGCUAUCUGAAUAGCAUAAAUUUAGACAAAGUAGUUCAGAUUAAAGAGCUGGCCAUAUAUACUUAAAAGUCUACAUUUGAUCAUUUAAGAAAGGCCUCAAAGAAAAAAGGAAAGGGUACUUCAACAUGUGAUCUGGAAGAAAUUUUAGCAUCACAGGAAAAGUUUGACUUUCUUCUGGUGCUUGGUUAUAUAAAGGAGAAAGAUUUGAAGAAAAAAAGUGUAAAAUUGUUUUCAUACAAUAUAUGAAUAAUGAAUCUAGACUUUAAAAGAAAAGCCAUAUAGGUUUUAUCUUUUACAUUACAGGAAAAAAAUGAAAUUCACAAAUUAUCAUCGCAACUUUGUGUAUGUGUGUUAAGAUGGUAAGAAAUUAACUUAGACAAAUCACAGCUUUUUAAAUUUAAUUUAAAGGGGGUUUUAAGGAAAUUAAGAUAUAGUCUUUGCAUCUGUUCUCAAAGUGCCCUAACAUUUAACUUUCAAAUAAUUACUCCGUGGAAACUCCUACUAUUACGUAAAUAAGCAGUGCUAACAAGAAAUUAGAAAUUAUAGAAGAAACUAAAGUGCAGCGUUCAAUCCAUCAUGUCCAGUCUACCAAAUUGGGAAUCCCUAAGAUGAAAUAUUUGCCUAAAUAAAUUAUAAAGUCACUAGUUGAACAUAAAUACCCAUCUUCUGAUCCAAUACUUCUGAUUAAAAAUAAGUCAGGUGCAUUCCCAUAAAUUCAAACACUAUUCUCAUGUUCCAAGAAUAUUUUUACCCUGCUUCUUUUCAUGGCAUUAAGCACUGGGGGUUUUUUGUCUUCCUUCUGCCUAGAAUGGCUUUUCUCUCUGAUACGACUGUUAAAGUCAUGCUUAUCCUUCAACACUGAAAACAAAGGAUUCUUGGUUCCUUCAAAGGAAAUAUGAUCCUGUUAGAUCA
rnacentral:lncRNA from 1 species